rnacentral:rRNA from 1 species
GCUUACGGCCAUACCAGCCUGGGUACGCCCGAUCUCGUCUGAUCUCGGAAGCUAAGCAGGGUCGGGCCUGGUUAGUACUUGGAUGGGAGACCGCCUGGGAAUACCAGGUGCUAUAAGCA